AAUGACAUGAAGAAACUGAGACCGGCUAAAUCCAGAAGAACUGUGGCAACGUCUCCAAGAUGCUCCAAGAAACCUAACUGCAAAGCUACAAAUCCGUCUCAUAUCAUUGGCGUCUCAGAAGUUCAUCUCAGAUAUUGUAAACGAUGCACUACAGCACUGCAAAAUGAAGGGCACGGCCUCUGGAAGCUCCCGAAACAAGACCAAGGACAAGAAGUACACGCUGACAAUGGAAGAUCUGACACCAGCCAUGGCAGAGUAUGGCAUAAAUGUAAAGAAACCUCAUUACUUCAUUUGAGGGGAAGUGCUUCAUGGAAAUGGACUGCUGGAAAUGCGCUGUUUGUCCCAUCAGAACUUUGAAGACAUUAUCCUUCAGCGUGGGAACCAUCGGCCCACUGGCCCUCAGCUUUUUGUAUGUUCUUUAAGCGUGUUUGAUUGCACCACACCGUGUGACUUUAGUUGAUGUCAGUAAAAAUCCUGUAUAAAUAAAUUCAUUGUAAUUACGUUUUGUGUAAUUGCACGUCUUCUGUAGUGGGAUCAAUUAUUGUGAAAAUGAGUCUUAAUUUAACCACUGUAAAGCUGUUACACUUCUGACGUCAGUUCAUACACUGUCUGAACCUCUCAUCUCUGCUUUAUGGAUUUAGUUUCACGCCAUAAGAGGCUUGAGCUGUGAUGUGUUGCAGUAUUAAUAGUACCUAGAGCUGCUCUCAAGUUUCCCUCUCUACAGUGUAGUACGGCUGCACUGGCCAUAGACCGCUCAUCACACCAUCUGUCUACAGCAAACAUGAUAUUAAUAAUAAUAUUUAAAUACUAGCCUUUGCUUUGUGCUAUUUGCAGUUGCGCUUCAUCUGUACGUGCUCACAGGCAUAGUUAAUGCAGAUGUAAAGCUCAAUAAUAGAGUGACAGGGCAGUUAUAUUAAUAUUAAAGCUAGUAUUCAUUAAAAAUUUAAAUGCAAUUAUUACUGUGCUCUUAUUUGAAAAACAGUGAUUAUUUUGUAAGUGUUAAUAUUAAAUGAUUUCAUCAAAUGAAUGCAUAUUUUCCAGAUUAUUUCUACAGCACAAUAUAAAUCUAAAUGGCUA
rnacentral:lncRNA from 1 species